GUGAGGGAUAUUGCACAAUGGGCGAAAGCCUGAUGCAGCAACGCCGCGUGAGGGAUGACGGUUUUCGGAUUGUAAACCUCUGUCUUCGGUGACGAACAAAUGACGGUAACCGGGGAGGAAGCCACGGCUAACUACGUGCCAGCAGCCGCGGUAAUACGUAGGUGGCGAGCGUUGUCCGGAAUUACUGGGUGUAAAGGGAGCGCAGGCGGGACAGCAAGUUGGAUGUGAAAUACCGGAGCUUAACUUCGGAGCUGCAUCCAAAACUGUUGUUCUUGAGUGGAGUAGAGGCAAGCGGAAUUCCGAGUGUAGCGGUGAAAUGCGUAGAUAUUCGGAGGAACACCAGUGGCGAAGGCGGCUUGCUGGGCUCUAACUGACGCUGAGGCUCGAAAGUGUGGGGAGCAAACAGGA
rnacentral:rRNA from 1 species